GAUGAAGAACGUAGCGAAAUGCGAUAAGUAAUGUGAAUUGCAGAAUUCAGUGAAUCAUCGAAUCUUUGAACGCACAUUGCGCCCCCUGGUAUUCCGGGGGGCAUGCCUGUCCGAGCGUCAUUACAACCCUCAAGCUCAGCUUGGUGUUGGGCCCCGCCGCCCCGGCGGGCCCUAAAGUCAGUGGCGGUGCCGUCCGGCUCCGAGCGUAGUAAUUCUUCUCGCUCUGGAGGUCCGGUCGUGUGCUCGCCAGCGACCCCCAAUUUUUUUCAGGUUGACCUCGGAUCAGGUAGGGAUACCCGCUGAACUUAAGCAUAUCAAUAAGCGGAAGGA
rnacentral:misc_RNA from 1 species